rnacentral:rRNA from 1 species
CAGCAGCCGCGGUAAUACGUAGGUGGCAAGCGUUGUCCGGAAUUAUUGGGCGUAAAGGGCUCGCAGGCGGUUUCUUAAGUCUGGUGUGAAAGCCCCCGGCUCAACCGGGGAGGGUCAUUGGAAACUGGGAAACUUGAGUGCAGAAGAGGAGAGUGGAAUUCCACGUGUAGCGGUGAAAUGCGUAGAGAUGUGGAGGAACACCAGUGGCGAAGGCGACUCUCUGGUCUGUAACUGACGCUGAGGCUCGAAAGCGUGGGGAGCAAACAGGAUUAGAUACCCCAGUAGUCCCUGUCUCUUAUAC